rnacentral:tRNA from 1 species
CGGGAAGUAGGUUAGUCGGCUAUACCGCCAGGUUCGGGACUUGGAGGUCGCGGGUUCAAAUCCCGCCUUCCCGA